rnacentral:rRNA from 1 species
UACGGAGGAUGCGAGCGUUAUCCGGAUUUAUUGGGUUUAAAGGGUGCGUAGGCGGAUCGUUAAGUCAGUGGUCAAAUUGAGGGGCUCAACCCCUUCCCGCUAUUGAAACUGGCGAUCUUGAGUGGAAGAGAAGUAUGCGGAAUGCGUGGUGUAGCGGUGAAAUGCAUAGAUAUCACGCAGAACCCCGAUUGCGAAGGCAGCAUGCCGGCUUCCGACUGACGCUGAAGCACGAAAGCGUGGGGAUCGAACAGG